rnacentral:rRNA from 1 species
AUUGAACGCUGGCGGCAUGUCUUACACAUGCAAGUCGAACGGCAGCACGGGAGUAAUCCUGGUGGCGAGUGGCGAACGGGUGAGUAAUAUAUCGGAACGUGCCCAGUCGUGGGGGAUAACGCAGCGAAAGCUGUGCUAAUACCGCAUACGAUCUAAGGAUGAAAGCGGGGGAUCGCAAGACCUCGCGCGAUUGGAGCGGCCGAUAUCAGAUUAGCUAGUUGGUGGGGUAAAGGCCCGCCAAGGCGACGAUCUGUAGCUGGUCUGAGAGGACGACCAGCCACACUGGAACUGAGACACGGUCCAGACUCCUACGGGAGGCAGCAGUGGGGAAUUUUGGACAAUGGGCGCAAGCCUGAUCCAGCAAUGCCGCGUGCAGGAUGAAGGCCUUCGGGUUGUAAACUGCUUUUGUACGGAACGAAACGGCCCUUUCUAAUACAGGGGGCUAAUGACGGUACCGUAAGAAUAAGCACCGGCUAACUACGUGCCAGCCGCCGCAGUAA